rnacentral:lncRNA from 1 species
CUGUCGGAUGCCGUCGCGGUUGACGGUGAACCCAGAUUUCUGUAUCUUUCAUCAGAUUGUGCCAGGGGCACGUGAGUUUUGGUUGUUAGACCAGUUUGAUCCAUUUGCAUUGACUAUCGCCUGUGAGAGCCUAUUUGCGCUCGGUAGAGACACGCUUGCAUACUCGAUUGGGUCGCGCCUACGAGUGCCGCUCCGGAGUGAGGCUUUAAUUUGUGUUGAUGUCGCAGCCGUUCUGUUUGGACUGUUUUCUUGGACCGGCCAUCCCCGUGGGUGAUGUACGGUAUAGCUUGGUUACAGAUAGGGUGGGUUCGUUUUGGCAACCCGUAUGAGAUUGGGUCAGUGGUAGUUAGUGAUGCAUAUUUAUGUCUACAGUUAGUUGGUUUUGGUAGUGAUAGUAUAGAGACAUGUAGCUGUAGAGUUUUUUUUUUCAGCUUUCUUUACUAUCCCGUGUAUAUCAUUACUGACUACUCUGUUUUGCAGUAGUUCUCACACCCAGUUGUUGACACCUUUUAUAAUUACUAAUUUAUAAUUUAUAAUUAUUAAUAAUUUUAAUUUAAAAUUAUUACUCUUAUUCACUUUGUUCCAAUCUAACCAUCCAAAUAUUAUUUACCUUAUUUCUAAGAACAAUCCAAUUUUCAUCCAAACGUAAAAUUAGUCUAAUUCCUGUUUAUAUCUGAACUUAUAUUUACCCCUAAAAUAAGCAGCUCUUAUUUAUACACGAACGAAACGCAACCUAAUAGAUUGAAUUGCUAUAAUCUUCUAUACCUAUACCUAUACAUGAAUUCUGGCUAAAAAUCCACAUGGAUAUACCAUUUUUAUUUGAGGGCUGUGGGACCCACUAUUAUUUUUAAAUUAUUUUCUAUUCUCUUGUGUUAGUAAAACUAUUUUCUUUCUCACAAUCACUUUUUUCAAUCCUCUUUCUUUCUUUCUCUCUCUCUCUCUCUCUUCUCAUCUCUUAUUUUUUUUUCUCUCAAACCAACAAAGUUGUCUCUUUCUCUCUUCCCUUACCUCACUUACCACGCGAUUUUGGAUCUCUCAACGUAUGAUUUUUAAUUUUUCUUUUUUCUCUUUCCUUUUUUUGUUGCUCACCGCUAGCGCUGGCAAAUGAGCGAGCCGGCUCGCGUUCGACUCGAUAUUUGGCUUGCUCGAGCUCGACUCGAAAUUAAAUGAGCUGAGCUUGAACAAAAAAAAGGUUCGAAAUUCAUUUCAAGCCGAGCUUGAGUUUUACUCGGCUCGUUCGAAUUAGGCUCGAAAAGCUCGAAAAGCUCGAAUAUAUAUAUAUAGUAGAGCUACUACGCUAUAUCGAAAGUAUAGAGAUAUGGUGUUUUCGAUUUUUUGAUUCUUAGAUCAAUCCCUUUAAUCGUUUCUUAUCUUUGGAUUAAUAUUAUUAUUACCUUGUAGGGACCACUCAAUCCUAAGAGUAUUAUUUAAUCCUAAGGGAGACCGCAAUCAUCCUGACCAUACAAUUUUUAAUCAAAGGGUGAAAAAUUCAAAAACAUCAAAUCCUCUAUAUUUUCGAUAGUAUAGUAGUUCUACACUCUAUAUAUAUAUAUUAAAAAAUAUAUAAUUAUAAUAUAUUUUAAUUAUAUAUAGGCUGAGUGAAUAAUCUGAGUUUAGUUAAAAUUGGGCUAAUGUUGUUGGCCCAUAAAAACAAACUUAAUAGACAAAUAAAAGAGCAAAAUUUUACUAAAUAUUUUUUCUUUCUUUCUUUCUUUCUUUCACAUAGCUCUAAAUUUUCAAUAUGUUUCUCUCUUUCUCUUUUUCUGUCUCUCACCCUAAGUGGCCAAGCCGGAAGCCCUUCAAGUUACCAAGUAACAGCAUAUGCUCGUCGUUGCCUAUCUUGCUAUUAAUUGUAUACUUGAGAAAAUAUAUAGAAUAUUUUUAAAGUAAAAAAUUAUUAUUCAUAUAAAAUUUUAAUUUUAGUUAUAUAUGAUUGGAUAGUUUAAUCCAAUAUUUAUCUAUAUAAUUUAUUUAUUUUUGACUGCAUAAAUGAAAAUGAAUAAUAUGGAGAUUGAAGGCGGAAGAAAAGACAUGUGAGGCUAAAAAGAUUAGAUAUUCAACUCAUAAAUUAUUUUUUUUCAUAUUAUAAUACUAUAUUUUAUAUAAUUAUUUUGUACUUUGAACUAUUAGACAUAUUUUUGUAUCAAAUUAUAGAUAAUGUUCUAUACAAAUUAAACUAUUGAUCGUAUAAUGUUGAGAAUUUCAAGCGGCUCGUUUAGGGCUCGAGCUCGCUCGACUUGAAAUUAGGCUCGCUCGAGCUCGGCUCGAAUUAAUUUCAAUCCAAGCUUGAGCUUAAAUUUAGGCUCGAAAUUAAUUUCAAG